rnacentral:rRNA from 1 species
AGGACGAACGCUGGCGGCGUGCUUAACACAUGCAAGUCAAGGGGGCCCGCAAGGGCAACCGGCGAACGGGUGCGUAACACGUGAGCAACCUGCCGAAUGCGUGGGGGAUAGCCGGCCCAACGGCCGGGUAAUACCGCAUACGUUCCCCUGGGGGAGUCCCUGGGGGAGGAAGCUGUGGCGUAAGCCAUGGCGCGCGUCGAGGGGCUCGCGGCUUAUCAGCUAGUUGGCGGGGUAACGGCCCACAAGGCGACGACGAGUA